CCUUCCUUCUUUCCUUCCUGCCUGCCUUCUUGCCUGUCUUUCUGUCUUUCUGGCUAUGAAGAGUGCCAUAGCUAACAACCUUGUAGAUGAUCCACAUAGUACCUAGAAGAGGGCACCUUUUAUUUUAGGGGGUGGAUUUCUGACAGUGGGCUUGCUGGGUGAAAGGCACAUGCACUUUUAACUAAAGAGACGCUAUCAGAAAGCUCUUCUAAAACGCAAACAGUCGUGACGUUUUUAUAGGCCGUGUGUGAGCGUACUCUUUUGCACACAUUCGUGCCAUCACUAGGUGACACAGGCUUGUCUUUCCAUUUUGUCAGCAUGAUGAAUAUAAAAUGAUACUUCGCUAUUUCGCCAUCUUCAUUGUCCUGCCACCAAGCGACUUGGACCGUCUUUUUAUUUUCCACUGGGCCGUCUGGGCUGGUUCCUCCAACGCCUUCUCGCAGCUCCUGCCCAUUCUUCUGUUGGGCUGUUCGUCUCCAUCUCGACAGUCUGCCCUGGCAACCACUGUUCCACUUUCAGUCUCCAUCGGUUUUCCUACUUUGCACACUUUGCGUAAGUGGAAUCACACGGUAUUUGCCUUCCUGUGACUGGCUUGCUUCACUCAGCAUAAAGGACCCCGAAGUUCAUCGAUGUUGUGGCAUACGAUAACACGUCCUUCCUGUUGAGGCUGAAUGAUUUUCGCGGUGUAUAUAGACCACAUGUUGCUGAUCUGUCCGUCCACUGACGGGCCCUUGGGUCACUCCCACCUGAUCGCCAUUGCAGCGGCCACGCCAUUUUCCAUCCCUUCCAACAAUGUACAAGGGUCUUGAUUGCUCCCAAUCCUUGUCAACGCUUUUUUUUUUCUUUAUUUCUUUAGUAGCCAUCGUAACGCGUGGAAGUGACAUCCUACUGUAGUUUUGAUCUGCAUUGUCCUGACGUUGAGGGACGUGGAGCAUCUUUUCGUGUACUUCUUGUCUGUCUGUGUACCUUGGGGAGGACCUUUGUCUUGAGGCUGGCACAGGCUUGAUCCCACAGAGGAAGCUGAUAUUCAGCCCUGGGCUCAAAUUCCCAGAACCGGAAUAAGAGUGCUGAUGUUUGCCUCCGCUAUUUAGAGGCCAUGGAAAUAGCCUGACAUAGUGCAGCCCCCACCCCCUAAUUCCCCCAAUGAAACAGACGAUGACAACAGCAGCAGAGGUCCCCUGGGGCACAUGCCCUAAUCAAUUUCCCUAUCACCUGGCCCCAGAUCCCUGAUGCGGGAACCACUGUAGGCUCCAUCACUUCCAGCUUGCAUCAUCUUGGGCAACCGCGACCCAGUACUCUUCUUACAAAACGGAUCUUGACUUGUUUUUCUGUAAGGUCAGGAAAAUACCUCCAGGAGCUGUCCAGAGGAUCGAGCACUGAAUGCAUAUGAAGUCACUUUGAAAUGUGUUUGAAACAUUAGGGACAUAGGACCUCUCUGGCAGCUUAUCAGCGGACGCCUGAUUUCAUUCUGCGAGCUGCUGAACCCCAGAGAGGAAUGGUUAACCCCCCCCCUUUUUUUGAGCGAGCAUAAGAGGCGACUUGAGUUUGGCUCCUUAAAUGUAUCUAUAUGGUAUUAAAAGCUCCCCUUCCGUAAAUGUGUCAGAGGGGAGAGGCUUAGCCGUGGUAGGAUGUCCUAGUCAAAGGUAGGAUUCAUAAGAUAAGGUGCUAAGCAGUGGAAGCCCCUCCCUCCUGUCCCCACCCAGGGUUUCCAAAAGCACUGGUGAGCUGCUGGUCAGUGAAUGCGUGGCUGGGUGCUUGAUGAGAGUGGUCCUUUACAGUUGAGGACCAAGGUCCUGGGGAGUCUUGGGGAUGAGCAGGCAGACGCCUCGCCCCACCUGUUAACUAUGGCCACAUUCAUCCCUCUGACUCCUCCUUCUGAUAGCCAGGUACCUUUUGAGCCCAGAAACAUUAUUUCUGCCAUUUACAUCGUAUCCAAAAAAAAAAAAAAAAAAUUGGAAAAUAUAAGUAAUAAAAGUGAAAUCUGCUGGUUGGCAAAGUACGUCAUGAAUCACAGCGGUUCUCCGAAGCAUUUGAGCCAAGAGGAUAUUUUGGUUUAAACAAGUAAUGUGAUUCCGGCCAAAAUGGCUUCCAGAUUUGAACUUCCAAAAAAAUCGUCACGGUUCACCAUGUCGCUUGGCUGACACACACAGGGCGAUCCCCCCUCCUAGGACGAAAGGAAAUUUCUAGGAAAAAUCAAAGUCAGCCUGUAUAUUUUCUCACCGGAGGGCAUGGGAAGAAGAGAGACAAAAUAGGGAUCGUUACAACGUUGUAAUCUGUUAGUCAUCCAAACACCUUUCUCUGUGUUCUAUAAAUUCUAUUCCAGCUGCAUAAACUGCACUAGACCCAAGGACGGCCUCCACGAGGAAAAAAAAAAAAAAGAAGAAGAAGAA